rnacentral:lncRNA from 1 species
CAUUUUUCCUGACAUGGGUAUACCAACCAACUUCCACAUUUUUAUCAUUUUGAGGAAAAGUUAUGAGCCAAUCUCAUACUAUAUACACCGACAUGAGCCUGUAUGAAAUACCUUAAGCAUUUACGAUUAUUUGGGAACCUUUACAUAUAACUGUUGCGUACUGUUGAGGAUUGUGAUAUCGCUGGUGGUUUGAACUAGGAAUAAGACAUAUAUCGUUCCGACGAGGUUUGAAUUGAUCGAACAACAGUUUGUACGACAUUGACAUGGCUUCCUGACGAAAUAAUUAAACAAGUCUGUUGAUUUAAACUCUAUUUUGUUCAUUUGCUACACUAGCAUGAGGUUUUUUAUUAGUUCUUUUAUUCAAUACCAUUUUUAAAAAAAUGAAUUGUAUGUACAUUGUAUAUAGAAAGUGGGACCUGUGGAACAUUAAUAUUGCUUUUGUGUAUGAUUGAUGUUCUGAAAAAGGAAUUAAAGACUUGCAUAAAGUAUGUUUGAAUAUUAGUUUGUCAGGGGUAUAAAUCUAUAUUUCGCGCGGUUAACUACAAGGAAUUAGCGCGAAAUUGUUUUCUCUAAUGGUACCCCGAUAGAUGGCGACACCUGUAGGGCAUGUGUAGCACGUGCAGCAAGUGUUGCUUGGACCUCAGUUCAGGUCAACGCACUGGUCGGGAAGGAGGUAUAGAAAAUGGCAGAGGAAAGACCAGCGAUAUCACUAACAACAUUUUUGGAGGCGAUACACACUCAGAAAAAUGAAUUGCAGGGGUACAUGGACACUCAAAUAGAUACGUUGAAAAGAUAUCUUAAAACUGCAACAGAAGAUAAUUCCAGGGUUGAUGUUAAAAAACUAAAAGCUGAUGCGGACAUCUCGUGGCGUAGGAAUGGAAAUAAAGAACAAUUUAAAUUCAAUGCCGAAUUAGAAGAGAAUUUGACCAAGGCCGUUUGGGCAGGUGGAGUGGACAAGCACGAGUAUUGUCACGAAUUGAUAAUUAAAUGUUUGGAGGACAUUAAAAACAGAAAUAAACUUAUCAAGUUGGCGGACUCUUCAGAGUGUGGUUGGGAUACGGUCAAGUGCUAUGUGACCAAUACAAUAGCCAGCGACUCCGAGGACGAGAAGAAAAUUUAUAAAGCAGGAGCCAGAGCUCGGAGAAAGAAAAAAGAGAGACUAGCGAAAGUAAAAGGAAAUAGACGAGGAAAAUCCAGAUUUGGACAUACAGAUGGCGGCUCUAAUUUUAGUCGCCCUCCUGCUGCUUCCGGUCAGAAUUUUCGUGACAACACAGGAGUCGUCACAAGGAAGCGGUAGUCGGGAGGAGCCUGCUUUGGCUGUGGUCAGUUUGGGCAUUUCAGAACUCGGUCAACUCCGCAGAUGGACGGCCGGGAUUCCACCCAACAGCGAAGUGAUAUUGAGCCAGCGAACCAGGAGAGGCACACGAGGGGGGAACAAUUGGUGCUAGAUAAAUAUUUUAGCGAACAAUGUGACAAUGCGGGGGUUCUUGAUAAUGACUUGUUAUUAACCGAAGAUUAUUAUGAAUAUGAGCAGGUAGAAAAGGAAAUACUGGUGAAGGGUUUUUUGAGAAGUGCGGAGGUACUGCAGUUGAUCAGGUCUGAUAUUAGAGUGUCCUCCACCCACCUGGAAGUGUUUAUUCAACAAUCCAAAACUGGUGUGUACAGAGACGGAUCUUGGCUCUUAAUUGUGAGAACUGGUAACAGAUUAAGUCCUGUGAAAAACUUGGAGCGUUAUAUGAAACUUGCAGGGAUUCAAGACGAUAGUGGUGAGUUUUUGUUCCGAAAUGUGACAAAAUGUUAAGACAAGUAUAUUCUUAGAAAGGACAACAAGCCACUUCUGUAUGCAAGAUUACGCGAGUGUUUCAUAGAGAACUUCUCCAAAGUUGUGGAAGAUGUUACCAAAUACGGACUGCACAGUUUUUGUGCAAGUUCAGCUGCAUGUGGGGGAAUAUCCGAUCGAUUAUUUAAGCGUCCUGGCAGAUGGCGUUCGGAGAAUGCGAAGGACGGUUAUGUGAAAGAAAGUUUACAGGCCAGGUUGUCGUCAUCGCUAAAAUUGGGGCUUUAGAUUAUUAGAAAUGGGCAAUAGUUCUGUUAGGUCAAGUGGGUGGAGGACGCGUAGAAGUAUAGGGUAUAUUCAAAAUUAUAUUGAAAGACAAUUUGAAUCAGAAAUAAAAUAAGUUAUUAUUCAUGUUGAGAAUUUAAUCUAAUAUUAUUGAAGCUUAUAUUAAAGUUUUAGUAAUGCCCGUUCUUUGUAUUCAGGCCGGUGCGUUGUGAACAGCCUAUGGGUGUUUGUUGUUGCCACCUGGGGGGUGGGUAAUUAGAGAAUUUAUAUUUCGCGCUGUUGACUACAAGGAAUUAGCGUGAAAUUGUUUUCUCUUAUGGUACCCCGAUAGGUGGCAACACCUGUAAGGCAUGUGUAGCACGUGCAGCAAGUGUUGCUAGGACCUCAGUUCAGGUCAACGCACUUGUUUGGGACGGAGGUAUAGAAGAAGAAAAAAAAUCUGAAAAAAUAGUGGUAAAUGUCUAGGAGAUACAUUGUAGAUGUGUAGGAUAAAAUAUACAUGACAAAUUGUUGUAAAAUGUUGUUUGAAAUUAUUAUUAAUAAUUAAACAGUCACUGGUGCAGGCCGGUGCGUUGUGAACAGCC